rnacentral:rRNA from 1 species
UGCAAGUCGAACGGCACCCCUCUCCGGAGGGAAGCGAGUGGCGAACGGCUGAGUAACACGUGGAGAACCUCGCCCCCUCCCCCGGGAUAGCCGCCCGAAAGGACGGGUAAUACCGGAUACCCCCGGGCGCCGCAUGGCGCCCGGGCUAAAGCCCCGACGGGAGGGGAUGGCUCCGCGGCCCAUCAGGUAGACGGCGGGGUGACGGCCCACCGUGCCGACAACGGGUAGCCGGGUUGAGAGACCGACCGGCCAGAUUGGGACUGAGACACGGCCCAGACUCCUACGGGAGGCAGAAUG